rnacentral:rRNA from 1 species
AGAGUUUGAUCCUGGCUCAGGACGAACGCUGGCGGCGUGCUUAACACAUGCAAGUCGAACGGAAAGGCCUGCUUUCCCUUGUGGAUUGCGGGUGCUCGAGUGGCGAACGGGUGAGUAACACGUGAGUAAUCUGCCCCCAACUUGGGUAUAAGCCUGGGAAACUGGGUCUAAUUCCCGAUAGGACUGCAGGGUGGUGCCUGUGGUGGAAAACGAUUUUCUAGUGGUUGGGGAUGAGCUCGCGGCCUAUCAGCUUGUUGGUGGGGUAAUGGCCUACCAAGGCGGCGACGGGUAGCCGGCCUGAGAG